CGUGUAGGCGGAUUAGCAAGUCAAAUGUGAAAACCAGCGGCUUAACCGCUGGCCUGCAUUUGAAACUGUUGAUCUUGAGUACGGGAGAGGAAAGUGGAAUUCCUGGUGUAGCGGUGAAAUGCGUAGAUAUCAGGAGGAACACCGGUGGCGAAGGCGGCUUUCUGGCCCGAUACUGACGCUGAGGCGCGAAGGGCCGGGGGAGCAAACA
rnacentral:rRNA from 1 species